AGUACAAAUCGUUCUAUCGCGUUACACUUUUUGUGUAAUGAGGAAAGUCCGGACAGCAAAGAGCAUCUAACCCGGGGAAACGCGGGGUGCAGAAAUGUAACAGCUAGUGCAGCAGAAAAUAUACCGCCACACAUUGUGUGGUAAGGGUGAAAAGGUGAGGUAAGAGCUCACCAGUUAUAAUAGUAAUAUUGUAAGCUUGGUAAACCUUUAGAGCUGAAAGAUCAAAUAAACCAAGGCUUGAGGGUUGCUCGCCCAAUCUUGGAGGGUAGAUCGAAUGAGGGUAGAGGCAACUUUACUCCCAGAUAAAUGAUAGAAUUCCGAUUUAUCGGGAACAGAAACUGGCUUAUAGAUUUGUAUUUUAU
rnacentral:RNase_P_RNA from 1 species